GCGCAAAAUAGACUAAAUUCCAGCACCACCUACAGAAAGGACUCGAGUCCCUCGAUCGAAAUCUCAGAUCAGAUCGGAUCGUGGCGGCCGGCGGCGCCACGACAGGUUGUCGGCCUGCAGUCCUCCUCACGGGACAAGCUGCGUUCACGGUGCGCUCUCGCUGCCCGCCGGCUUCGACGGUGUGGGCCGGGGCGCCGCCCUUCCGCAGAUCCGCAAUUGAGUCGUGCGUCCGGUCUGCCGCCUCCCCUCGACGUCCACGGCUCUGUGCUCUUCCGUGUUCUCUCCUAGCGCAGGCUGCGGGGGCACUACGCCGCUAUCUUCCGGCUCCUCAUACAAGAGCGAUGGACAAACUGAGCCCUGUGGGAAACAAUUGCAUCAGCUCAGCGACGUCCAGCGUUUCUCCUCUCUACGUUUCUUUGCACGCCUCAUCUCCAAGCACGAAGCCACGGCGAAAUGGUCUGGUCUUGGUACUAUGUUGAUAGCAAGGGUGCAAGGCUCAAGGGAAUCAGCCGGUUCUGUAGUUCUUUGUAUGCUUAUGGUAUCUUGGAUGAGGGUUACAAAUCCAACAUAUCAGUUGAGGAAGCUGCUGAGUUAGCAUGGCGGGCUUUUAUCACACACUAUUCUGUGACAGAGCUAGUGGUGGCUGUGUUCCUGGUGGGCUUGACAGACCAGUUUUUAUCCGGAAGAAAGGCCUUUAGCGUGCGUUUGGAUCUGAAGAAACAAAGCAAGAUAUGGCUGUCAUUCCUCCUAACUUGGCUAGUUACUAGUAUCUCCUUGAUCCUUUGAUGAGAUGAGCUGAACAUAUUCAAGGUUUCUAGCGGGAAUCACUUCGUGUCCAUUCUGGUGAUAAUGGUUGUACUCCAGGUAAAAAAACAAAUAGUAUAAUUCUUCGUUUCCAUAUAUGUAUUAGUUUUGGUUGUUGUUAUAUGUUGUUUCCUUUGUAUAUAUGCAAGCUCUUAUCAUCGAUUUCCUUGGCAAAUUAACUUAAACAAUCAUGUUAAGCUGGCAGCUAUGGUUGGUACUGAUGGGAGCUUGUUUAGGUGCUGAUGGUCCAAGAAUUGUAUUUGUGUGGUGGAUGUAAUUAUGUUAUGAGGUCAAUAUGUAACUUAUUAUACUACAUUUAUGGACCAAGCCAUGAAUCAGUACCAAAAUUCAGCAUUCGUGAGAAGAAAUGUGAACUUAUAAUGUUUUUUUUGUGAGA